ACAUACGACCAUAGACUGAGGAGAAUUGGGCAUCCCGUCCGCUCUGCCAUACACAAGCCUCAGAUCGGUAGAUUAGUAGUUGGGUGGGUGACCACCAGCGAAUCCCUCCUGUUGUAUGUA
rnacentral:rRNA from 1 species